ensembl:lncRNA
AUGAUGUCGUUUCUAACAGGUUCAUCUCCUAGCCAGAAUCAAGAAAGGAAGACACAGCAGCCACACUGUUCCCACAGAGGUGAGGUCUGGAAGGGAUCACCCAGGCAGGGAGACCUCUGUUUGGAGUGUGCAGUCAUCCUCCUCUCAUUAUUUCCUGAAACUCACGGAAAAACCUUAAGUCUUGGAUACAGAAAAAUAAUGGACUUCUAUAAGAGUUGCAACACCACGUCGUCUACUAGACAACAACAGGCAGGCGUCAUCCCUGGAAACACCCAUAAAAACGCAAGUCAAAUGACCACACCUGUAUUUCAAGUAAGCGACCUCCCUGCCCUGCUCCACCAUCUCCCUGUCCCAAAUCUGAGUCUUGAUCUGGGCGAGAAAAAACACAUCCACUUUCAGUCAGAAGGUGGUGCCAGACUGUGCACCAAACAAAGAGGAGGAAACAAGAAGACACUUACCUAGUUGUCCUGAGCAUUCUUCUCAUGAACUGCAAGCUGAAAAAGCCAACAAUGAAAAUCCCAUGGUUAGGGAUUCCAAGGGCCACUACACUCACCCGCGUGAGGUGCUAAGGGUUCAGUAUGUCAGGCAGAACUCAGGUUACCUGGUAUCUAAAGGUGAACUCUGCCUGCUGCAGCCGUUCCCAUGUUUGUUCAAUUUGUUGCCUGUGAGUUACAAUUGCUCUUGUCAGGUAAGGCCCAAUAUUGGGUAUGAUUUUAAAUAAGCUGCCCACGUUCCCAAGAACCUCAUAUCUGUCCCCUGAUACAAUUUAUUCUUACACAUGAAACACUUUGCCCAUGAUUAUCAAUGUACAGUAGGAUCAAAGCUAUUGUUACAUCCUUUCCUUACUCAUUAUUCCAUGCCUGUAGGGUUCAGAGUUCAUAGAAUUCCUUCCCAUUUUCAAUCUUUCUCUAACUCAUCAUGUGACAAGUGUCUUUUAUCAUAAAGAUCUAUUCUUCUAUAACUUAUAUCCUCACCAUGUUUCCCAGGGUUGCAAAGACGAGGGCCAUGAAAUGGCACUACCACAUUGAUGGGGUAUUAGUCUUUUAUGGCACACUGCUUUCCUACAGAUGAUGGGCCAAUUGAACACCACCCCCGAGGAAUGUUACAUGGACAAAGUUUCCACACAGUCUGGCCACUACUUGAGAUCUGCAAAUGUUUAGAAACUUAAUUGUUUUAUUCUUUCUAAACUUACCUUUUUUUUUAUCUAAUACUCUAUGCAUAUGUUGACUUUAAACAUUACAAAAAGAUUAAAAACCAAAAAAUGAACAGCGGUUUCAUGAGCUGCUGGUAAUUACUAGCUGGAACUCACUUCGUACUUGUUUAUUUCUUCUGUAGCUAUUUUCUUUUUUUUCCCUAAUGUCUAGUUAUUUUUGAGACAGAGAGAGAGUGAGCACAUGCAUGAGCGGGGGAGGGACAGAGAGAGAUGUAACAGAAUCUGAAACAGGCUCCAGGCUCUGACCUGUCAGCACAGAGUCUGACACGGGGCUUGAACUCCCAGACUGUGAAAUUAUGACCUGAGCUGAAGUCAGACGCUUAAACGACUGAGCCACCCAGUUGCCCCUUAUGUAGCUAUUUUUUUUUUUUUUUUUUUCAACGUUUAUUUAUUUUUGGGACAGAGAGAGACAGAGCAUGAACGGGGGAGGGGCAGAGAGAGAGGGAGACACAGAAUCGAAACAGGCUCCAGGCUCUGAGCCAUCAGCCCAGAGCCUGACGCGGGGCUCGAACUCCCGGACCGCGGAGACUUGACCUGGCUGAAGUCGGACGCUUAACCGACUGCGCCACCCAGGCGCCCCUUAUGUAGCUAUUUUCAAAUUUUACCUGCAGCUGCCAGCUGAUUCUUCUUUGCCUCCAGUUCACAGUGUCAUUUUCAGUGUCACAGUCAGGAACAAGGUCCAGAAGUUCUCCCUUUUUACCUCCCAGCACUCUUGAAGGCCUAUGCAAAUAUCCCUUCCCCCACUUCUCCCAUAAAUGCACAGACUGACACCCCAAUCAGAGAAAUGAAGUGAACACCCCAUUUAAGUGCAAGAAAAUUCAACUUCUGUCUCCUGCCACGUCUCUACUAUUGGAACUGUCUUUCUAGUUCUCUUGUUUCCUCUCCUUUAUCAUAAAGUCAUCAAAUAACAUUGUACUUUGUGCCUUCCCAGAGUUGGUCUUUUGUUUGAUAUGGUGAAGACUCAUUUCAUCAGUGAGUGAAAAACCAUAUCUGACCAACUGUACCCAUUAGGAUGAAUCGGGAUCAUCACUAGUCUUACACCUCCAUGGGGAGCCCUGAUUCUCAGUCCAAAAGUUGUACCAUGACGCAGGCAAUCACCUGAAAGGCGACCUUCCAGAAUAUGGUUUCACUAACAUUGCAGCUCACUCCCAGAUAUUGCUAGAGUUCAGGACUGCAACCCCUGCCUCCACCUUCAAAAGGCCAAUCUUAGAACAACAUCAUCUCCUGACGUACAACCUGAUAUGAACUGUCACACAGUCUGGGUUUACUUCCAGGAAAGAGAUUUCAGGUGGAAAACUCUCAACUUCAUGGAGCCAAAUGUACUUUAACAAGACUCAUUACAUUGAUAGUGAAGGCAGCAAAAGGCAAUGCUUGGCAAGGCUGGGUUGCUGUGUUUCCCUCAGACUAUUUUCUUUGUGGUGUUGAUUGAGAUGGUUUCAACUUGACACCUGAUGUACUCAAGAAUCACACGCAAAAUUGAAAAUCUCUUAGAAAAUGACAUAAAAGCACUAGACAGAGAAAGGCACAUGCAUUUCCUUCUGGCCUCAGGCAGUACUUCGGCAAAUGCUUGCUGGAGUGGUUGUAAUGUAGUGGCUCUGUUGUAAGGGGUUGAAGAUAGAGAGGUGGUCAGGGUGCUGUGCCCACUCACAGAAAGAGCUUACGAGUUAACAAAAACAAGAUGCCAGUGAGACAGAGCAAGCCCUAACCCCAGCUGUGGGAAGGACGAACAUAAAGGUGAGUCUCCAGGGAAGAGAAGACUUCACUUUCCAACAUGAGUGAGGGACCAUAAAGUCCCCCAUCUACUCCUGAGAACAAAAGGAAAUACUGUACAAAGGAGGAAACAUGUGACUGAAUGCACCAAGUAUCUGACAACCCCACAAAGAUACACAAGACCAAGAUGGAGAAGGAAGCCCAGGACAAAGCCAGCCUGGCGGUUGGACCCAAACUCCCUAGGACUCAUCAUUGAUGUGGGGGGCAUACAUUUGAAUGGCAAAGAAGCUGAACAACUUUAUGGGCACAGACUUAGAAGUAAACAAGUGUAGUUCAGGGGCGGCCAGCAAAGAUGAGCCCUAGUGAAGCUGCGGGCUUUGGCCAAGACUCAGAAGAGUUACACUUAAAAAAUCAGGGGACAGGAAACAACUUGACUUUCUUAGGGAUUGGGCCUGCAGUGAGAAAUCUCACUGGCAGAAUGGAUUCAGGGAUCCAGUACUGCUGGUACCUCUACCCACUUUCCAGAAAGCAACUUCCAUUGUUUCUGCAGCAAGAUAAUUCAUUUUUUCCCCACACAUUUUUGACCCAUGUCUGGUCCUGAACAAAAAUGACCUAAUUGCUGGGUGACAAAACAGUGUGAUGCGAUUGAAACCUAUAGGACAGUGUAGGUGGAUCCAGGUAUUAAAGUUAUUAAUGAUGGUACCUUCCCUCUUCCGCCCCCAAAACAUGACACAAUGUGUGGCAAGCACUUAGGAGAAAGAAAAAAUGCAGGCUACGUUACAGAAAGCAAGGUAGGAAGGGUAGGUCCAAUUCUACUGAAUGCGUUGGGCAAAAAUACUCUGGACCCAGUUCCAAAAGAAAUACAAUUAUCUCUACUGGCUGCCAUGUUCUCCCAUACAACCUGGUCCUUGUGACAGUUCUCACAUGAACAUCUUACUUUUCUAAUUUUUUUUAAACAUUUAUUCAUUUUUUGAUAGAGACACAGUGCGAAUUGGGUAGGGCCAGAGGAAGAUAUAGAAUCCAAAGCAAGCUCCAGGCUCUGAACUGUCAACACAGAGCCCAACAUGGGGCUUGAACUCAUGGACCAUGAGAUCAUGACCUGAGCCGAAUUUGGACGUUCAACCGACUGAGCCACCCAAGGGCCCCCAUCUUACUUUUUUGUAGGCACUUUUUGUUCAUAGAAUUCUUCCAGGUUAUGUGCUUUCUCCUUCAGAUGUUUGACUUUUGCUUCCUUUGUGGCUUUCACAGACCUCAAUGCAUUACACUUAUCUUCCAGGGCGUUUUUAUUUUCUGGAAAAAAAAAAGGUGUUUUCUUGAUAAACGUGCACAUGACCUGAGUCUUGAUUUUGGUGAGGCAGAAAAAGCACAAGAACCAUGAAAGCAUGAAAGUAUUCUUUCCCUUACCAAUGCAAAGUCACUGCCAUCAUAUGGGGAUUUCUCCCCAACAGAAAAUAUAACUUCUAGUUGACAGUUAUUGGACCUCAAGGCUGUUAGCUCUACAUCCUUGAAUUCAACAUUUGCAUCUUGUGGUUAAGACAGAUAUGAGGAAAGACUUUCAUGGAAAACUGAUCACACAACAAUUUGUACCUCACACAGCAAGAUCGUGCAUUGCAAUCAACAAACACCUUGAGGCAUGAAUAUAACUAGAAGACAAAGAUGAUGGAAAAUAGUUCAUGUCUAACAACUCAUGGCUUUCUUAGUGGUGUGUGUGUGUGUAUGUAUGUAUGUAUGUAUGUAUGUAUGCCUGUUUAUCCCCCAUUCACGUUGAAAAUUUACUAUUCAGCAUUCAGAAAGGAAAGCGACAUGACACCUGGGUAGCUCAGUCAGUUGAGCAUUAGUCUCUUGAUUUUGGGGUAAUGUCAUUUUUCUAGGAUCAUGUGAUCCAGACCUGUGUUGGGCUCCACACUGAGUGUGAAUCCUGCUUAAGAUUCUCUCUCUUUCCCUCUCCCUCACUUGCAUGCCCCCUCACUAAAAUUAAAAAAAAAAAUCAUAAAGCAUAAUUUAAACAUAAUUUUUAAAGGGAAAGGAUUAUACACUUUGGCUGUCACCCUUUCUCUCUCAACUAUAUUUGGGUAUUUUCUACAUAUCGUGGAGGGCAAGUUUGAAUGAUGUGAUAAUUACCUAGUUUGUGAAAAUAAAAGAUAACUCCU